AACCAGUUCUUUUAUCGCAAAGAGAAUCGUUUCCUUGGUUUUCCACCGACCUUUCCCCGCUCCUUUUAGUUCCUCCUCUCGCUUUCGAUCUCCUUCGGACGCCAUCUCAGGUUCAACCGGUUCUUUUAUCUCAAAGGGAUCCCGUUUCCUAGGUUUUCCACCAGCCUUUCCUCGCCCUUCUUUUUAGUUCUUCCUUUCGCAGCUAGUUCUUCCUUUCGCAAAGGGAAUCCCGUUUCCUAGGUUUCCCACCGACCUUUCCUCGCUCCCUUCUUUUUAGUUCUUCCCUUCGCUUUCGAUCUCCUUCGAACGCCCUCUCGAUUUCGAUCUCCCGUCUCCGCCAUGGCCGUGCGCUUCAGGUUUCGGAGCUCCGCCGCCUUCGAGUCGGUGGACCUCGGUGGCCGCCCCUCCAUCUCCGUCAGCGACCUCCGUUCCAGGAUCCUCCACCUCGCCAACCUCCCGAUCUGCCGCGACUUCGACCUCCUCAUCUCCGACGCCCUCUCGGGCCACCCGUUCGAGGACGAAGAGUUCCAAAUCCCGGCGGGUUCAAGCGUUAUCGUCAAGAGAGUACCAGCCGGCCGAUUCGCGCCUUCGGAUCCGGUAGGGGGGAACUCUGCAAUCAAGAACCGCGGGUUCGCAAAUGCCCUUGUUUCUUCACCUUCGGAGAAUGUUGAAAUGGAUGGCUUUGAUGACUUUGGUAAUGAUUUGUAUCCUGCUCUUGAAGCACCUUUACCAGAGUCGGAUGCCAAUAUUGCCAACAUAAAUAUAUUUGAUAAACAAGAUGAUAUUUCAAGAUCCUUGGAGACUCCCAUCUCAAGAUGUCAGAACAUUGAAGGAAGUGAUCUUAGUGAAGCUAUGUCAAAGGCAGAAAUCAUCAGGGACAACUAUAGUAUUGAAUGUGAUAUUGACAAUAACAAGAAGCAAACAAAGCUGAAGUCUAAGAGACAAGAGCAAAAUAAGUUUGAUGAAGGUGUUGGUUUGUGCUCCCCAACAAUGUUGAAUGCUGAUCUGCCACCAGAAUUGAGAUGCUUUCUUUGUAACACAAUCUUUAAAGAGGCUGUGAUGAUACCAUGCUGCCAACAUAGUUUUUGUGACAAGUGUAUUCGUUCAGCAUUGGUUGAGAGGGCAAGAUGUCCCAUGUGUUCUUCCACCAGGUGCACUGUUAAAGACCUAUUGCCUAAUUUGUCACUUCGGCAGGCUAUUGAACAUUUCCUUGAGGCACAAGUGGCAGUUAAUGACUUAGAUAAGAACACUCCUAAAUAUGCUCCAGAUGGGGAAUCAGGAAUUCAAGCAAAAGAAUUGUCUUGUGCUGUGUCUGUUCGUCAACAAGAACCACAAUUUCCAAACUCUCCUUCUGCAACAGGGAAGGGAUCCAAUCAGAUUAUGAUUGAAUCAGCAUAUGAGAAUAAAAGAAGUGCUGGUAUUAAUAUUCUUUUAGACACAGCUAAGUCUGUGAAAUCAGCUCCAUCAUCGCAUAAGGUCAACCAGAUAAAAGGUGAUGAAAAUAGCUCUGCAGAAGCUUUGAAGCAGAUGCAUGAGUUGCAAGAAUGUGGUAGUUCCUCAAAGUUGCCUCAGAGUCUUCCAUUGAACAAAGAAGUUAAUUUGACUAUCCAGAGAAAGAAGGGGUCUGCCUUUAACACUCCAGAUGGAAGCGGGGCUUUAAUGCCACCGAGUAAGAACAGAAAGGGCACCCGAAAUUGUUACAUGUGUGGCUCCCCUAACCAUUUGGUUCGUGAUUGUCCAGCAGCUUCCAAUCCAUACCCAGGAGAUGCUGCAUUCCCUGGGGGCAUCUCAGCUUAUGGACAUCCUUUCUGGCAUGGGGCUUCAUUACCCCAUUUUAGGCCUUAUGCAAAUAUAUAUGGUGCCCCUGGUGUGAUGCCCUUUGAUCCAACUGUUCUCCAAGUUUCACCUUUCGGGAUGCCUUCAUAUAUGCCAUCAUUAUAUGCUGGCAUGGCAGGACCCUAUUUGAUGAGGAUGGGAGGUGUACCACCUCCCUUGAUGGCUGGAGCAGAACAUCCUCUUUCUCAUGCUGAAUUUAUGAAUCUUCAGGAUGGUGAACGGAAGCCCAAGCUUUUGAAUGAAUGUCGAGAGAGAGAACUUGAUUAUGAUGCUAUAUCUGAAGAUAAUCGCUAUAAUGAAGCAAGAAGAAGAUCGCAUGAACGGAAACAUUACUUAGAUAAGGAGCCCAUUAGAAGCUGCUCUGACAGUGACAGCCAGAGGAUACACAAGAAAGACCCACUUGAGAAACAUCAUAGCCCAUCCCAUCGAAGGCCAGGAUUCAAUUCAGAUGAAGAAAUUUACUCAGCUGAUCUGAAACACAAGGAGUCAUAUGCAUCAGUUUCUAGAAGAAAUCAAAGGUCGCAUUACUCUGAGAAAUCAAAAUCUGAAAGGCAGGAUGCAUCUAACAGCUCCAACUGGCAUAGUAGAGACAGGAGAAAACAUAAGCAUAGAAGUUCUAAAAAACACAGUGAAAAAAGAGGUCAAUGUAGCAGUGAUUAUGGCCGAAGAAGUCAUCAUCGGAAUCAGAAAGAGGUACCUGAUGAUCUUGAGAAGGAUUUGAAAGAUCCUCACAGACACAGUUGCAAGCAUCAUAAUCACUCAGAAAACGGUUUGGAACCAGAUCUCUCGAGUGGCCGGAGACAACUCAUCAAGGAGAAAGAAUCCAGUCAUAGUUCCAGGCACUCCAAGUCAAAGGUAAAUUUGAGAGAUGACCAGUUGGAGGUUGACAGAUGGGAGAUGGUUGAUAGUUCAGAUGAGGAUUACAGAGGAGAGAAUUAUCACCAUAAGCGGAAGAGAACCCACUAAAUCUUGGGAAUUUUCUGUUAUUUUAUGGGCACAUCUUACUAACACCAUCAAGGGAGUGGCUUGUAUCAUACAGCUGGAGAUGUGCAGUAUCACAGCCACAACAAACAUAUCAUCGAAGGAUAUAGUUGAUGUCCAAUGAUUUGGGAAGAUCAAGAUCUGAUGUGAUUUGAAAUGUUGAUUUUGUUGAUACAGAUUGGGAAAGACCUGAUGGGCAUUUGACAAUAACAUUUAUUAAUAUCUGCGAUUCUAACAAUUUCUUUAUGUUGAUUUUAAGGGAUCGUGGUCUUUUUAGAAAAAUGUUUUACCCCUUGUAAAAGGUUGAAGCUUUCGAUGAGUAGUGAGCAUAGCCCAGUACUAUCAGGGGAUUGAAGUUGGCUAAGGUAUGCACUCAAUAACUUAGAGACCAGUUUGUAUUCAGUUGCAUCUUCUUUACCUAGAUGGGGAAGACCCCAGCAAUGCCAAUCAUGUGGUUUUAUAUCAUGAGGAGGUUUUAAGAAUAUCAAGGUUUUUAAAAACAUCUUCAAAAGUCAUAUAACCUGCAUCUUUAAAACUACAUAAAAUAAUCACGGUUCUCCUGUGCAAUGCAAGAAUUACUCAAACCAGCUCGGAUCAGCCAAAAUAACACCCAGAAUUGUGGCAGAUAAGACUGGCCUAAAUCUAUCAGGUUUCUUCCUGAAUCAACUGACUUUUUAAAGGUUUAAUCAAUUGGUUGAGUUUUUAAAGAUUGACCAACCCAAUUAUGUUGAUUACAAAACCUACAUCUUCUAUGAAUUAGGUAUGUGCUUUUAUGGCAGCUUUUCAAUCAAAAAUCCCAUUUUUUAAAAAAUGUAGAUUUUUUAUAGGCACUAUUUGUAAAUGUAUACCCUAGGUCAGUUUCCUCUAUAAUUUUUUAUAUUUAAAUGCUUUCCUGAUGUUAGCAUUUGCUUCUCGGCGGUCUCUUUUAACAAACAAAUUAUGUAUAUAUUAAGGAAAUUAAAAAACACUGUGGUUGUUUUCUUGAGACUAGUUUAUAUACCUUUAUUUUUGUUGGUUUCAUUUAGAUAAUAAUAUCCACAAACCAGUUCUGCUAUUGAACUUAAUGCUAUACCAGAAUCCACAGAUCGUUAUAUCUUUUUUCUGGAAUGAUGAUCUGCUGAUGGAAUCUUAAUUUGUUGUUUAUGGUCUGAUUCGACUUUUAUCCUAAUGAUUAAUUUGUCCUAAUUUGUUGUUUUGGUCCUGAUUCUACAUGUUAUUUUUGUUCCAAGUUUUGAAUCUUGAAAAUAAUAUAUGAAUGAUCUGUUUUUUUUUCUUUUCUUGUGGAAGCAGCUCUCGACAAGUAAAUCCAGAGAUAAUUGCUAUGCUACUUGUAAACCCAUCUGCACAUAUAAUUUGUUUAAGAUAAUAAAGGAGGAGAUUGGAAGAACAAGUGAUUUUUAAGAGCAAAACUUAUGUAUGCAAGCUUAAUGAGUGUUGUUGGAUUGAAAGUAAAUAUUGUUGUGUGAAGGUUCUGCGAAAACAAGUCUGAAAGAUUGCCUUCCUGCUAGUUAAAUUGCAGGAACCUCUAACUCGAAAACAGUUUUGUCCAAGGUUUUAAAAUCAAGAUACUAGCUAACACUCGUUGUGUGUGCGCAGGCAUGUUGUGCGCGCGCGCUGUGCCGUGUGCGUGCGCGCGCGCGCUGUGCCGUGCCGUGUGCGUGUGCAUGCGUGUGUUGUGUGUGCGCAUGCCUGCGUCCGCAUGCGUGUGCGUGUCCUUGCACACGCACAUGCUUGUUGAAAUCUUUUAUGGUCAUAACAAAUGAAAUUGAUUUAUUUCCAUGAACGUGCAUGUGCGUGUUGAAAUCUUUUUAUGGAUGUAACAAAUGAAAUUGAUUUAUUUCCAUGAAUUUCAUCAACUUAUUGAUUUGUUAAAUGAAUUUAAUUGCUAAAUAAUGUUUUUUCUUUUUUAUUUUAGCUGCUAUUCUUAAUCAUCCUUGUCUCUCCCAUGUUUGCUAUUUCUGCCUAAAUUUGCUUGCUCUUAUUUUUAUGACUUCUUUGCAUUACAUGGUAAUUAUAGUUUCUGUUUCACAAAAUCAUUCCUGAAUACCAAAUCUAUCAUUUUUAUCCUUGUUUUUCUCUACUUUUAGUAGUAGAGUGUCGUUAAAGACAUUGUUCAAUUCUCUUUGGACUCCCAUAAUGAUAGGAUGAGAACCAUCAGCAAAGUGAAUUGCCCGGGUAUUGCAGGGAUUUUUGCUAGGGUAAGCCAGGGAAUAGAUGUAGGAGAGAGGGGAGAGGACAUGUGAGGUUUUUGUUAUCUUGCUGAGCACUCAAUGGUGACAUUCUCAACAAUUUCUGGCCUCAAAAGGUGUAUGCUAUUUGGUGACUUGGUCUUGACACUACACCUUUAGGGCAUGUUUGAUUGGGGGAAGUUGGACUCUAAAAUGGAAAUAGAAAUGAGUCUCUCAUUCUAGCUGUUAAUUAGAGGAGUCUAAUUCCUAUUCCGAUUUUAUGGAGUAAUGGAGGAUAGCCCUAAUCCUCCAAAACUUAAUCUGUACUCUCUCUUAGAAUUUAAAUCUCAUUCUGAUUCCAAUUCUGGUCACGAACUGAAUGCAUUGAAGGAUGUGGCUGUUCUGAUUUUCAUUCCGAUUCCGUUUCCAGUAGCAUACCAAAUGUAUCCUAAAAGCCCAUGGACUGUCAGCAACAUUUUCGUGGCCAUAGAGAAUAAUAUCAGCUGGCUUUUGCUGAUUUUACUAUCUAGAUAGCAACACCAGGUGGUUGUAUCUGCUGUCCAUUCUUGGGGACCACAAGAGAAGAGGGGGAGGGUUGUCUUCAAUUUUCUAUGUUAAAAAUGGAAAUUUGAUCCAGAGGAAAUGCAUUGCGGUAGCUGUGGGAAGAGCAGCAGCAUCAGGUAUAUUGAGGAUAGCUAUACAAAUCUUACAGCUGUUUCUAUUUAAUGCAUGCUUCAACUGAAACAAGAGGUAUUUAUAUCUGAAUUUAUAUAUCGGUUUGUUCUCGUA